rnacentral:rRNA from 1 species
ACACAUGCAAGUCGAACGCCCCCUUCGGGGGGAGUGGCAGACGGGUGAGUAACGCGUGGGAACCUACCCAAUAGUACGGAAUAACUCAGAGAAAUUUGUGCUAAUACCGUAUACGCCCUUCGGGGGAAAGAUUUAUCGGAGAUGGAUGAGCCCGCGUUGGAUUAGCUAGUUGGUGGGGUAAAGGCCUACCAAGCCGACGAUCCAUAGCUGGUCUGAGAGGAUGAUCAGCCACACUGGGACUGAGACACGGCCCAGACUCCUACGGGAGGCAGCAGUGGGGAAUAUUGGACAAUGGGCGAAAGCCUGAUCCAGCAAUGCCGCGUGAGUGAUGAAGGCCUUAGGGUUGUAAAGCUCUUUUACCAGGGAUGAUAAUGACAGUACCUGGAGAAUAAGCUCCGGCUAACUCCGUGCCAGCAGCCGCGGUAAUACGGAG